GAACCACGCCAUCAGUCGUAGCAUUCAACCCCAAAGGAGAGCUUCUCGUCGGCACACCAGCCAAGCGCCAAGCCGUGACCAAUCCAACGAACACGCUCUUCGGAACAAAGCGUUUGAUCGGGAGAAAAUUCGACGAUCCGCAAACGCAGAAGGAAAUGAAAAUGGUACCUUACAAGAUCGUGCGUGCGCCUAACGGCGACGCGACUAAGACGCAUAUUCAUCGAACCAUUUCGCAUCUUCCUAACCGAAUCUAUCGCAUCGUGAACUUCAAAACCAUGGCUACCGCCGCUCUCCUCCGCUCGAUUCGACGCCGCGAAGUCGCUUCCACUCCCUUCUCAGCUUUCAAAUGCGUAAGUCUUCAUUCGAUCAUCAUCUACUUAAUUGCAACCUUACCUGAUCUGAUUCAAUUUUUGUUGCAGCUUUCGAGCAGCGCGAAAACAUCAUCGAACGGCUCUUAUCAUGCUCAGAAUUGGAGAAGCUUCUCAAGAGCAUUUAGGUAUCGCUUGAUCUCUCCAUCUAUUCACUAACACCAAGAUCUCGCUGUGUUUCUGCUAUUAAGUUUUUCUUCUAAUUGACUCAGCUCAAAGCCUGCGGGGAAUGACGUCAUCGGUAUCGACUUGGGUACAACUAACUCCUGCGUUGCAGUCAUGGAGGGGAAGGUACGAGACUGUUAAUUAAAAUUGUAUUACGGUUAUAUCUGGUUUAAACCGGUUAAGACCUUUGUGUAUAUAUAUAGUUAGAGAGUGUUGCAGUCAUGGAGGGAAAGGUGAGAGACUGUUAUUAGAUUGUAUUACGGUUAUAUGUGGUUUAAACCGGUUAAGACCUUUGUGUAUAUAUAUAGUUAGAGUGUUGGUUACAUUGUAACAGAAUCAUAACGAAUAAACAGAUUAUCAUCUUCAGUGAGCUUGAGCUCGAUCCCUUUUUGUUUAUGUAGAAUCCGGUUAUUAUGUGGUUUAAACCGGUUAAGAUCUUUUAGUUAAGAGUGUUGGUUACAUUGUAACAGAAUCAUAAUGAAUAAAACAGAUUAUCAUCUUCAAUGAGCUUGAGCUCGAUCUCUCUCUGGAUCUAAUAACUUUGUGUUUAUGUAGAAUCCGAAAGUCAUUGAGAAUGCUGAAGGCGCUCGAACCACGCCAUCAGUCGUAGCAUUCAACCCCAAAGGAGAGCUUCUCGUCGGCACACCAGCCAAGCGCCAAGCCGUGACCAAUCCAACGAACACGCUCUUCGGAACAAAGCGUUUGAUCGGGAGAAAAUUCGACGAUCCGCAAACGCAGAAGGAAAUGAAAAUGGUACCUUACAAGAUCGUGCGUGCGCCUAACGGCGACGCGUGGGUUGAAGCCAACGGUCAGCAGUAUUCUCC
rnacentral:lncRNA from 1 species